rnacentral:rRNA from 1 species
UUGGCUUUGAAUUUCUAUGGCUAGAUAAAGUACAAGUCGUAACAAGGUUUCAGUUGGAGAACCAGCUGAAGGAUCAUUU